rnacentral:lncRNA from 1 species
GUGGGCAGCGGCUCCGCGGGGCUCAUGAGUCUGAACACAGUGGCUGUCAUCAGAGGCGAGAGAGGAGGCCCCUGAGUCCCUACUGUUCCCAGAGCCUCCCGACCCUGGUGCCCGCCUGUCCACUGCUACUGGGUCAGAAGUGCACGCCUCUCCUCAGUCUUCUGUCCCUGGCCGCUGACCCGAGUCUUAGGUGACGCACUUGGCCACCAGCGGGGUCUGCUCUGACUCCUGCUUUCCCCUGGGCUCUGAAGGUGACGUUCAAGUGCAGCCCUGGCUUCCCCCUCAGUCGGGGCUGAAGCACCCCUUUCUGGGCCUCGAUUCAGGAAGAGCGUCAAAUGAGGACUUGUGAGGUUGUCACCAAGGGAGGAUCUACCAGUCCCUCUCCGUCUGUCUGCUGUCUCUCCACCCGUCCAUCUCUGGGUGGUAAUCUGCUCACCUCCAGAGGCACCGAGACAUGUUGCUGGGUUCAGUACUCCAUGCGAGGCCCUCAUAGGCGCAGACGUGCUCGGCGAGCCCAGGGACAGAAGUGCCACAGUUGGCGCCAGGGGACCGCUGAACCUGCAGGACAGGCGGCCAUGCAGGGUCUCUGCCCAGCCCCCCAGAGGUCCUCUGGGCCCUGCCAGAUGACAAGGCCCUGCCAGCUCCUGUCCCCAUUAUUGCAUGGGACACAGUUAUACUAACACCACAUGUUUGUGGCUUAUCUCACUCCUCCGCUCUCGGCUGGUGCUUUCUGGAAGAACCUCUCAAAUAAAGCCCUU